rnacentral:lncRNA from 1 species
UUCCAUCAGAGGUAAAAAAUAUGGUAUCCCAGUGAGAAAAUAAAAUUAGGUGAGAGGGCCAGCUAAUCAAGAAAGUUAUAGAACAUAUUUCUUUGUGUAAGUAAAAAAUAUCAGGGUCAAGUAUAGGACCUUCCAGUCCUUGCCUGGUCUCCGCUGUGGACUUCCUGGACUCCGUGUCCUCUAGUUUGGCCGCUGGCCCAUCAGAGGGAGCCAUGCCACAAAUGCAGCCUUUUUCUUUCAUGAGCUUGAAUGAUUUUUUUUAAAGUCUUAUUCCCAUGGCAAGUUUGAAUUUUAAAAGAGAAUCACUAAAAAUGCCAUGCUUUAAUCUAAAGUAAUGAAUAUCUUAACGGUGGUGAAUUUAGGCAGCAUGGCUGGCUGAUGGGAAAGUUAUGUAACUAUUUCAGGAAGUAGAUUUUAAGGCAGUAAAGAGACUAGGAAAGGAGAAGACAGAAAUUUGUGUAGCAUAUCUUACAUCAUAUCGUCAUAUCAUACUGUUACAAUGUGUAAGGCCAGGCCUCAGGUUUUCCAGAUAUAAAUCAGAUGCUAUCAUGAAAAAAUUAACUGGCCCUGACUCAAGGUCUGUGUAGUUUUAAGCCCAUGCAUACAUAAUGUUUCUUAUGUGUCUGGUAGAAGGCACUGGGAAAGAAAAAGAGAAUGAUAGGAACAUAAGAUUUAUGGAUGAAAAAAUAAUAAAGACAUUACCAAAAUGGGCUAAGUCCUUGCUCAAAUGUUACCUUCUAAAUUAGGCCCAAUUCCCCAUUUAAAAUCAGCUCCCCUUAGCUUCCCAUUUUUCUGAUCUUACUUUCUUCCCCCCCAUAGAUCUUACCACCAUCCAACAUCUUAAAACAUUUAUUAUUUUUAUUGCUUAUUGCCUCUUUUCCCUGCAUGGAGCUCCAUGAGGGCAAGUACUUUUGUUUGUUUUGCUCAUAUAUCCCAAGAGCUGAGGAACAAUGCUUGGCAUAAAAUAAGUAUUUAAUCAAUAUCGUUGCCUGAAUGAAUUAAUGAAUGAAUGACAGAGAGGAUACGGAGCUGUCCUGCGGCCCUCCAUGGCCCAGGCUAGACAACACCAAGAGGGAGCACUUCCAGGUGUUACCAGGAAAGGGUCAAGCUCCUUUUUUUUAUUAAACAAUUAGACGUUAACUAUUGUUAUCUAAAAAUGGGCAUUUAAUCCUUGUGCUACUGCUUCAGGGUGCCUUUCAAGAUAAAUUGUAGGUUUUAAAAAAAUUGUAAUGUGGAGAAUUAGUAAUAGGAGAGUUUACUGCAGCUAUUCAGUUAUUUUUCCUGAGAACUGAGGAAAGAUUACCAGCUAUUUAUGAGAAGUAUCUGUUUUAUGGAUUAGUAAAUUGAGAAUUAGUUGAACUCCAUGUCUACUUCCUUUUGACAUUUUAAUUAGUGAAAUUUGAAUGAAUGCAUUAUCUAAUAAUACUGUGUUCCACUGUGAUUCUUUUCAGCAAUUGUAAUUUUUAUAAAAAUAUAUAAUAGU